GCUGGCUGCCAGCAGGGAAAGAGCUCUUCUGGAGAUGGGCUCUGCUGGAGUUUUGUGAGUGAGCCCAGGAGAGGGAGCAGUGUUUGUAGAUGGGUAUUUGUGCUGAAGAAGCAGCAUUCACAGAACACUGAAGGCAUCUCUGUGAGGAGACCUGUCUACACGCCUGCGAGCCAACAGUGCUAGCCCUGGAAAGCAGCUUAGUUGUACUGGGCCAGAAGUUCAUGAUGGUGGCACACUGCAAUUCUGAGGAUCCACACUGAAAGCAGUAUCCCCAAAAUUUUCAAUCCCAACCGUUUUUAAUCUAAUUGUAAUAGUCUUAAUCUAUGGUGCAAUAUUUUCAUACAAUUGUCAGGGAAUAAAUCCAAACCUAAGGAAAUCUAAAUCUAAUGAUUAAAAAAUGUCAGGUGAAUUUAAUAACAAAUGUACGUACCUUCAGCUGUUAUCGUGAGUAGAGAAGCAAAAGGAAGAAAAAGAGAAAAUUACAGUUUCAGUUGUACAAUUGAAUGCAUUCAAAAAAAACCCUAUUGUUGAAUUGUCAGAUUCAACUGUACAUCUUCAGUAUUUUAUAACAGUUACAAAUCUAGACUCCUGUAUGUGUAAAAAUCAUGUUCUUUUUCUACAAGCUGGGAGUGCUCUGAGUAGUUCUAUUACUUCUAUUAUCACACAGAUAGAGGAUUUUCUUGGAAAGAGAUUCAGAAAAGGACCUGUGAGUCACUCAGGUCACUCCGAAUGCCUGCCUCAUCUGCUAGAUGCUCUUAUGUUUUAUAUCUCGUAGUGUCCAUCUGUAAACUACAAAAUCAUUAUGCUGCAUAAUGUCUUGAAUGCUAAAUUAAUUAUGAAGCGUUUUUAUGUCAGUAUUCCAUCAUGGUAUUUCUGAAUAAAUAACACAAGCAAUUUUA